CUUUCUUCUCGCAACUGCAGCUUGGCGCUUGGUGGACUUGUACGCGAGAAAUCCGCUUAUUACUCCGGACCCAUUUCCAAACCAACAACAAAUAUCUCUUCAACCUUCGGAGCUCUCUAUCUAUCUAUCUGUCUAUCUAUAUUAUACUCUCUGCCACUGCAAUCCUUAAUUUCUUCCAUGUCUUUCCCCUUCUCUUUCCUCUUUAUGAAUGCUUCCUUCAUUCUUGAUCUGGGGUCGUAUCACUACCUCUUCGAUCGUAUCUUUCGCUGUUGAACUCUUUCUAUUUUGCUUCUUUUAGCUGUUCUGGGCAAUUUAUUCAAACUAUAGCCCUCUGGGUCUUGAUCUUCAUUUCCCCUUCUUGCAUGCUUCAACCGAUUUGGGAUGAUGGGUUUUCUACUGCACAAUUGAAAUCUUAAGUGUUUGAAAUUCUGUGUUGGGGUACUACAGUUAUGGGUCGAGGUAGGGGAAAGGGAAAGAAGUUUUCAGUUACUAAUUUUGAGGAUGCUGGCAGUGGUGAAGAAGAAAAAGUGCCAGUGCAGAAGAGAAGAGGAAGACCGCUAAGACCACUGAAAGAUGAGAUUGAUGAAGAAGAACUUGAAAAGGUAGAAGAGGAAGGAAGUGACAAGACCACAAAUGGUUUGUUGGGCAAAGAGAUUAAAAGUUCGAUAGCUGCAGAAAGUGUAAAGAAGAGGAAACGGAAUUCACAGGCAAAAGAAAAAUCCGAUUCAGUUAAAGUGGAGAGUGGUGUUGCCACCAGAGCCACUACUGAUGACUCAACAAAGUCCAAUGGUUUUCGUCAUAAUGGCAGCAGGAGGAAAAGCAAGCCUCGUCGAGCUGCUGAAGCAGGUGUUGAGUGCAAGUAAAAUUAUGGUUGGCAGUUCCAGUUGAUACAUCACCCUUUAUUUGUGCUUGCAGAAUCAUGUGAUGAGAAGUGAGCCUGUCAAAUUUCUUUUUCAAUUUUAUUAUUUUAUUUGUUUCUCCUAUUUUUUGGUUAUUCCUUUCUGGAAUUCCGUCUUGAUUUUAGUUUGAUGGACUUGAAAUGAUGAUAAUGACUGCAGUCUCUCUCCGAUAUUCUGUUAAUAUUUGAGGCAUUCUGUGUUUUCUUGUAUUAAGUUUUGACCAUGCCAUGUUUGAGAAGUAUCUCUUUCCUUAAUUUUAAGAAUUAUCCCUUACGUAUGGUGUCUUUUGUAAUCCAAUAAUCAGGCUUGCCUGUGUCAUCCUCUAUGCCCAAAUAUGUGAAACUAGAUAUAUUAAGAAGCCAAACACCUUGGCAUGGCAUGGAUACGAGCAUUUUGGACAUCCCAUUACGACAAAUUUUGAAAGAGGGGACUACUGCAGUACCAUGUCAAUUAACUGUUAGAAACUACCCAAGAUUCCUUGUCCAUUUUGGACCUAUAUUUCUGUGCUACAUCUUAUAGAAGAUUAUGUCUUGGUUAUAUGUUCCAGUUGUAUCCUAGAUUGUAUAUAUUUCCAAAUCUAGAUUAGGAAACUUCCUAAUUGGAAGCUGCCUAUUGUGGUAGAACAUCUUGUAUAUAUAUAUUCAUCCUAACCCUACAAAGGUAAUAAGAUCGAAUAUCUUUUCUAGCCACUUUUGACAUUAACAAAUAUAUAUUAUUUAUUACAUCAAAACAUAACUGCUUUUAUUGUUGUUUUCUGUUUAAAUUAUAAUCACAUAAUACUCUAUUACCUCAAAUUAGUGCAAAAUCACAAAUGUAUUGGUAAAGAAUUGUGAAUUAAAAACCAUAACUUAAAUGUCUAUCUUAGAAAGUUCUAUGUAGAAAUAAGUUGAAAGUUUUGGCUUUAGAAUUUGUGAGAAAACAAUUAUGAGAGAAAAACUUAAGAGAUUAGUCUCUUAGUGUGUUAUUUAUAAUAGGCACAAUGAGCCUAAUAACCUACAGGCUUAGCCUAUGGACUUAGUCUAAUUAUACAUAGUUAUAACAAAUAAAUAAAUAAAAAUACUAACAACAAUAUGCAAUAUAUCUAAUUAUACUAAUAAUUCUAAUACUCCCUCUCAAGUUGGAGCAUAGAUAUCAUAUGCACCAAGAAGCUUGUUACAGAUAUAUUCUAUCCGAGGACUGUUUAGAGACCUUGGUGAAGACAUCAGCAAGUUGAUCACUGGAGUUAACAAACUCUGUAAUAAUAACACCUUCAACCAGCUUUUCUCUAAUAAAGUGACAGUCGAUUUGAAUAUGUUUAGUUCGCUCAUGGAACACUGGAUUGGAAGCAAUGUGCAAGGCAGCCUGAUUAUCACAAACAAGCUUCAUAGGGGACACUUCACAAAACUUGAGUUCCUCCUAGAUGAGCUCACAAGUUGCAUUAGCCAUAGCCUGAUACUCUGUCUCUGCACUGGAUCUAGUUACUACAUUAUGUUUCUUACUUUUCCAAGAAAUCAAAUUUCCUCCCACAAGAAUACAAUAUCUAGAGGUCGACCGACGAUCAGAAGGAGAGCCGACCCAAUCUGCAUCUGCAUAACAACAAAUAUCUAUGUGCCUCUCAUCCUCAUAGAGUAGUCCUUUACCCGGUGCUUGUUUGAUAUAUCUUAGAAUCUGGAUAAUAGCAUCCUAGUGAGAAUCACAUGGAGAAUUGAGAAACUGACUCACCACACUCACAGCAAAAGCCAUGUCGGGAUGAGUGACUGUGAGUUAGUUUAGUUUGCCUACCAAUCUUCUAUACCUUCCAAGAUCCGAGCAAGACUUCCCCUAUCCAGGCAAGAGUUUGACAUUUGGGUCCAUUGGGGUGUCAAUCGGUUUGCAGUUCACCAUACCAGUUUCUUCUAAGAUGUCAAGUGCAUACUUCCUCUGAGAGAUUGAGAUUCCAUCUCUUGAUUGAGCAACUUCAAUACCCAAGAAAUACAAGAGUUUGCCUAGGUUUUUAGUUUGAAAGUGCUGAUGGAGAUGUUCCUUCAGAUUUUGUAUACCAACUUGAUCGUUCCCUGUGAUAACAAUGUUAUCUACAUAAACAACGAGAUAGAUACAUAAAAAAAAAAAGAAGAAUAUCGAUAGAAAACUGAAUGAUCAGCUUCAUUUCGAGUGAGACCAAAGGCUUGAACCACAGUGCUGAACCUGCCGAACCACGCUCGUGGAGAUUGUUUCAGGCCAUAGAGAGACUUCUUGAGUUUGCAGACUACAUUGGACCCCCCCUGAACAACAAAACUAGGUGGUUGCUUUAUAUAAACCUCCUCUUGCAAAUCACCAUGAAGAAAGGCAUUCUUAAUGUCCAAUUAGAGUGACCAAUAACGCGUAACAGUCAUAGAGAGAAAUAGGCGAAUAGAGGCCAUUUUAGCAAUUGGAGAGAAUGUAUCACUGUAAUCCAACUCAUAGAUUUGUGUAAAGCCUUUGGCAACCAAGCGGGCUUUAAGACGUUCCACCUGUCCGUCAGGGCCCACUUUAGGGGUGAACACCCACCGACAACUAACGAGAGUCUUUUCUGGUGGCAAAGGCACCAAAUCCCAAGUGCCAGUAGAAUGCAAAACACUCAUCUCAUCUAACAUAGCCUGGCGCCAACCAGGAUGGGACAUGGCUUCACCUGUGGUUUUAGGAAUAGAAACAGAAGAAAGGGUCGAAACAAAAGCACUAUAAGCAGGUGACAAAUGGUCAUAACACAAAAAAUUAUAAAGAGGAUGUGGAUUGCGAGUAGACCGUAUACCUUUGCGGAGUGCAAUAGGAAGGCUGUCGAGCUGAGAAUCCAUGGCAAGAGUGACCAUUAAUGGAGAGAGUGAGUCAAGAGAGUCGCAGUCAAGAGGAAUGCCGGUGCCAGGAGCAAGAUGAGGACGACAAUGAUUAGUAAGAAGUGGAGGAGUCGGGGAGUGUGGACUGGAAGAUGGAAGUGAAGGGUCCACCGACGAGGAGAUAGACGGAUCUGAUAAGGGCAAUGAAAGAGAAGGAAUAGGCAAUACCUGGUCAAGACACUGUGAAUUAGGCUGAACAAUCGAGAAGAAGGACUGUUGUUCAAAGAAUGUGACAUCAUCUCAGACAUAAGAUAGCGGUUCAACUCAGGAGAGUAACAUUUAUAGCCUUUCUGCAACCGGGAGUAAUCGAGGAAAAUACACUUGAGGGAUUUGGCAGCAAGUUUAUCCUGUGCUGGUGAAAAGGAAUGCACAAAACAGAUACAUCCAAAUACAUGAAGGGGAACAAAAUAAAGGGUCUGGGAGGAGAACAAAAGAAAGUGAGGAAUGUUGUCCUUUAACACUGAAGAUGGCAUGCGAUUGAUCAGAUAACACGCAGUAAGAACAACAUCUCCCCAGAAUUUGGUGGGAAGAUUGGCAUGUAAAAGUAGUAUUCGUGCAAUUUUAAUGAGAUGACGAUUUUUAUGCUCGACAACACCAUUUUGUUGAGGUGUAUAAGGACAAGAAGAUUGAUGCAAAAUGCCAUGAGUAGUCAUAAAAGUAGUAAAUUGAGAAGAAAAGUACUCGGGGGCAUUAUCACUACGUAAAACACGUAUAGAAACUCCAAACUGUGUUUUUAUUUCAGCAGUGAAUGUCUGAAAGACAUAAAACAACUUAGAUCGACUUUUCAUGAGAAAUAACCAAGUGCAGCGAGAAAAAUCAUCAAUGAAAGUAACAAAAUAUGAGAAACCAAGAGUAGAAGUGACACGACUGGGCCCCUAUACAUCAAAGCGCACAAGAGAAAAUGGAGCCUCAGCCCUAUUAAUGACACAACUGGAAAAAGAACUACGUGCGUGUUUACCACAUUGACAUGACUCACAAUGAAAAAUAAACAAUGAUGACAAACUAGGAACUAAUUUCUACAAUUUGGAGAGGCUGGGAUGACCAAGACGAGAGUGGAGAAGAUUUGGGGAAGGAGCACUGGUGCAAGCCAUUGGCACAGCAAGAUGAUAGUGACCAUGUGACUCACGCCCGACGCCAAUCGUCCACCCCGUACCCUGGUCCUGUACACAAACAGAGGCAGGAGUGAAAAUGACCGAGCAGUUAAGGGUUUUAGUAAGUUGGCUAACUGAAAUCAAAAUUGAAAGGACUGUCAGGGACAUAUAAAACCGAAUUUAAAGAUAAAGACGAAGUGGGUGUGGUUUGGCCUAUCCCUUUAACUUCAGUUCUGGUGCCAUCAGUCAGGGUAACUGUAGGCAAGGUAUCAGAAUAAGUAAGUGAAGAGAAAAGAAGUUCAUUACCACACAUAUGAUCAGUAACCCUAGAAUCUAUAAUCCAAGGACCAAGAGAUGGGCUUUUAGCAACGCAAGUAACGAGAUUACCAGGAUGAGACUGCUGGGUGGCCUGAAACUUCAAAAAGACAUCAUACUCAGCUGCAGACAUAUGUAUCAACUGUGAACCCGGUGCAGAUUGGGCAGAACUAGGAUCACUCUAGAAUGCAUGAGCUGCAUUGGUAGAUGAUGUAGGCGGAGCAGCAGGCCGACCAUGUUUCUUCCAACACCUGUCCUCAAGAUGACCUAGUUUCUUACAAAAAGUACACUGUGGACGUGUCCGAUUAUUAUUACGGCCUCUAUUUUCUCCUGAGUGAGAAGUCUAAGACACAAGGGCUGAAGAUUCGGUUGGAGGAACAACAUGAGAAGAAGAUGACAUACCAUGUGCACCGAUUAUGUUCAACAACCUUUUAAAAGAGUCCUUCAUGGUAGGAUUAGUGGAGCUGGUUAAGAUUUGAUGCCUGAAGGCGUCAAAUUCUGGGUUUAGACCGGAAAGAACAAUAACCAUAAAAAAAUUCUCUCUUUGAGUAAUCUGUUCGGUCUUGGUCAUAGUAAUGGGAAGAAGAGCAUCAAAUUCUUGCAUGAGAGCCCGAACCUGUCCCAAAUAAGAUUCCAUGGACGACUCUUGCUUCAAAUUCUUGAUAUUAGAGACCACAGUGUACAAACGUUAGAUGCCAUUCGUAUACCAUUCUUUAGCUUCCUUCCACACGUCAACACAAGUUUCAAAUGGCCGAAAGAGCCGCGUGAUGGAUGGAUCAAUGGACUGCUAUAGGAGACUACAUAAUUGGGCAUCAACUUGUUCCCAUCUAGCCCGAUUGACUUCUGGCACACUUCUAGCCUUUGUGGUAAGAUGAUUGGCUUGGCCUUGCCCUUUGAAUCACAUUUUGACAGAGGCUGCCCAUGAGAGAUAAUUGGCAGACCCUAUCAACUUGACAGUGGUGAUAUUGGAUGUUCCGAGAUUGGAGACAAUAAAGGACUGAGAGACAGCAGGGGCAACAGGUGUAGUUGCGGGAGUAGCACCAAUAGAAAUUGCGUCACUGAGGUUAGACAUAGCAAGGAUUUGACACCGGGAAUAGGCCUAGGGAAGGGAGGUGAGCUGAUUUGGAGAAUUUGGGAGAAAACGGCCGGUAGACGCACCUUCACGCGCCAGCACGUGGGGGCGGACGGCUGCGCGUGGCGGCAGCGUGUGGGAGCUUCGACGGCUGCGAUUUUCCAACCGCAACUUGGCCUGAAGGCGGCGAACCCUAGGGUGGGGUUGGUUCCAGCAAACGACGGCCGAACAAUGAUGUUUUGGUGUGAACAGUUACGGUGAAGAAAGAAAACUAGGGUUUUCCGGCGUGAACAAUGAUGGUGAAGAAAGAAAACUAGGGUUUUUAGGCCGUUGGAAAAAGAUACACAACGGUGGCUAGGGUUUUUUUCAUCGGUGGCUCUGAUACCAUGUGAAAAAACAAUUAUGAGAGAAAAACCUAAGAGAUUAGUCUCUUAGUGUGUUAUUUAUAAUAGGCACAACGGGUCUAAUAACUUACGAGCUUAGCCUAUGGACUUAGUCUAAUUACACAUAGUUAUAACAAAUAAGUAAAUAAAGACACUAACAACAAUAUGAAAUAUAUCUAAUUAUACUAAUAAUUCAAAUAGAAUUCUUCAAACUGAAUCUUAGUAGAGGAUGGACUAAUAAAUACAUAUCCAUAUUGUUCGAUGAUAUAAAUAAUUUUUAAGUUAUUUGUUGAGCUGAUAGGCAUGCAUGUUCUAAACUUGUGAUGAUUGUUAGCAAUGUGUUAUUUCUUUACCCCAGAAUUUCUAAAUUAACUUUUAACAAACAUUUUUCCAACCUUGGUUGAGGCCUUGCUAAGAUUUAUUUACAUAUUUUGUAUUGUUUAAGCAUUUAUUGUGUUGUAUUUAAAGUAGAAGAUUGCUUAGUGGUAAAUCCUGCAAGUUUCACCUUUUCUAUGGCUCUAAUUAAAAUAAGCUCAAAAAGGUUUAAGUGAAUAUUAUUGUGACCUGGGGAGUUGUUUGCCAGAAAUGAUAGUUGAUGUCCAUGAACAUUGCCCCUUGAGAGUCCAUGUAACGAUACUGAAUAUUAUUACUUUCUUCAAAUUUACUGUUUACUCGCAUGAUUGUAAUUAAUUUGAAAGUCCGGGGGGGUUGAAUAAAAUUUUGUGCGGCAGUGGUUUGCCGCAUCUAAAUGCAGUUCAAACUGAUGUCUUAGGAUUAGGAAGCUUGACUGUUUGGUCACAGCAUUUUGUGAAAGCUUUGAGAGAUUUUACGUUAUUCAUUGGUUGUUUGAGUAUAAUCAGGGAAAGCACAAUUGCACUAAAGCUGUGUUUUUUGUUCACACCUCAAGCUGUGAGAUUUACAUGAGAGAUCUGGACUUAAUACUCUAAUUUCUUUAAAUGGCACCAAAAUGUUAAGUCGUUUUUGGCUCAAUACCCACUAUUAUUUCAGGUAUACUAGUCAUAAUGCUUUUAUCUAAUGGGAUCUAUCUGAGAGUUGUUCAUUUUAGAAUCAGGGCAAUUUCUGAAGUACUUAAAUUUGUAAAUAGGAGACUGAUAAUAUUGUUUCUGUUACCAAUUAUUUGAACAUCUGGAGCAAAUUUUUUGAAUACCUGACUUGUUUGUACCUUCUUCUUACACCUUUUCCUCUGUUGUGUGUGUGUGUGCAGUACUUGCUGUAUGAAGUUAUUUGAAAUUUAAUGCUCAAUAAAUAGUUUCAAGUGUACAAGUUUUGAGAAACCUGGUGAGAACAAUAAAAAAGGAUUUGUGUGUUUUUUUUUACCGCACUAAGUGUUUUGAGUGAUAGGCCUUGCCCUUCUACCAGAACAAGCACCAGUGGAGGAUGAUAUAUAUAUAUAUAUAUAUCAAAUGAGAACUGAAAAAUAAGAGAUGCCAAGAAGCAAAGAUACUUCAUAUCAUGUCUAUGUGGGGCCUUAAACAUUCAUUAGAUUCCCCAUGAUACAUGUCUGAGUGCACAUUUCUAAAACAAUUAAAAAAUAUUGGCACACAUUUGAAGUUGGUCCAGUGGCUUGCACAAUGGAACAGCCCCUACUUAAAAAUAAUGCUUGGUUACGUCUAGUGCCUCUCAAGGGAUCCAGAAUCUGUUGACAAAUUCCUACGUGAAGCUUGAACGGGAACCUGACAUUGGACUGGACGGCCUUGGGAAACUUGUUUGGAACUGCUUGGCCACAGAAGAAGUCGUUAUUAUAUUUCCUUGUGAGAGUGGAUUUUUAGGGGUUUCACAAUGCUGAUCCAUAAGAAUUCAGUUGUCACUGUUUUCAGGUGGUCAAGUGAUAUAGUAUCUGUUUACGAAUACCCAACGGAAAGGUGAAUGAACACCUGGAAUUGGACAACCUUUGCGAAUCUACGAACUGUUUACCUGCAGCACAAGUUCAUACAUUUUAAGGACUCUUCAGUUUUCCGACUUUGUUUUUUGUAUGACUUCAGCUUUUUGACUGUAUGAUCAUCUUCAGUUUUCACUCUUCAGACUUGAUGCUUCUAUUCUCGUAGUCUUCGAUUGUCAACUGGACUGACUGUGAGGGACGAGGGUCAACAACGAGUGGACUGUGAGAAAUGAGGAUGACUGGACUGUGGGCGACACCUGGCGGUGAGUGGGAACUGGAAUGUUGCGACUGAAUUUUGCCAGCGACCUUGUGACUGGAGUUUGGACAAGUUGAGACUGGAUUUUGUGAGGUUAUGGGACUUUUUGGUUGCUGCUUGCUUGGCUAUUCACAGUGAGUUGCGAGACUUCCGACUGGAUUCUUCUUGACAUUAGAAAUAUAAAAAUUUAUUUUAUUAAUUAACGUGUAUCACGACAACACUGUUGCAUCCCACUUUUUUUUUUUUUUAAAAAAUGUCGUGUUGCCAUGUCCA